rnacentral:rRNA from 1 species
AGAGUUUGAUCCUGGCUCAGGAUGAACGCUAGCUACAGGCUUAACACAUGCAAGUCGAGGGGAAACGAUAUUGGAAGCUUGCUUCCGAUAGGCGUCGACCGGCGCACGGGUGAGUAACGCGUAUCCAACCUGCCCACCACUUGGGGAUAACCUUGCGAAAGUAAGACUAAUACCCAAUGAUAUCUCUAGAAGACAUCUGAAAGAGAUUAAAGAUUUAUCGGUGAUGGAUGGGGAUGCGUCUGAUUAGCUUGUUGGCGGGGUAACGGCCCACCAAGGCAACGAUCAGUAGGGGUUCUGAGAGGAAGGUCCCCCACAUUGGAACUGAGACACGGUCCAAACUCCUACGGGAGGCAGCAGUGAGGAAUAUUGGUCAAUGGACGAGAGUCUGAACCAGCCAAGUAGCGUGCAGGAAGACGGCCCUAUGGGUUGUAAACUGCUUUUAUAAGGGAAUAAAGUGAGAGUCGUGACUCUUUUUGCAUGUACCUUAUGAAUAAGGACCGGCUAAUUCCGUGCCAGCAGCCGCGGUAAUACGGAAGGUCCGGGCGUUAUCCGGAUUUAUUGGGUUUAAAGGGAGCGUAGGCCGGAGAUUAAGCGUGUUGUGAAAUGUAGACGCUCAACGUCUGCACUGCAGCGCGAACUGGUUUCCUUGAGUACGCACAAAGUGGGCGGAAUUCGUGGUGUAGCGGUGAAAUGCUUAGAUAUCACGAAGAACUCCGAUUGCGAAGGCAGCUCACUGGAGCGCAACUGACGCUGAAGCUCGAAAGUGCGGGUAUCGAACAGGAUUAGAUACCCUGGUAGUCCGCACGGUAAACGAUGGAUGCCCGCUGUUGGUCUGAAUAGGUCAGCGGCCAAGCGAAAGCAUUAAGCAUCCCACCUGGGGAGUACGCCGGCAACGGUGAAACUCAAAGGAAUUGACGGGGGCCCGCACAAGUGGUGGAGCAUGUGGUUUAAUUCGAAGCAACGCGAAGAACCUUACCAGGUCUUGACAUCCUUCUGACCGCACCUUAAUCGGUGCUUUCCUUCGGGACAGAAGAGACAGGUGGUGCAUGGUUGUCGUCAGCUCGUGUCGUGAGAUGUUGGGUUAAGUCCCGCAACGAGCGCAACCCCUAUCUUCAGUAGCCAGCAGGUAAGGCUGGGCACUCUGGAGAGACUGCCAGGGAUAACCUGGAGGAAGGUGGGGACGACGUCAAAUCAUCAUGCCCCUUAUGAUCUGGGCGACACACGUGCUACAAUGGCGGUCACAGAGUGAGGCGAACCCGCGAGGGGGAGCAAACCACAAAAAGGCCGUCCCAGUUCGGACUGUAGUCUGCAACCCGACUACACGAAGCUGGAAUCGCUAGUAAUCGCGAAUCAGAAUGUCGCGGUGAAUACGUUCCCGGGUCUUGUACACACCGCCCGUCACACCAUGGGAGUCGGAAAUGCCCGAAGCCAGUGACCCAACCUUUUGGAGGGAGCUGUCGAAGGUGGAGCCGGUAACUGGGGUGAAGUCGUAACAAGGUA